rnacentral:rRNA from 1 species
CUCUGUGACUCCUACGGGAGGCAGCAGUGGGGAAUAUUGCACAAUGGGCGCAAGCCUGAUGCAGCCAUGCCGCGUGUGUGAAGAAGGCCUUCGGGUUGUAAAGCACUUUCAGUCGUGAGGAAGGUAGUGUAGUUAAUAGCUGCAUUAUUUGACGUUUAGCGACAGAAGAAGCACCGGCUAACUCCGUGCCAGCAGCCGCGGUAAUACGGAGGGUGCGAGCGUUAAUCGGAAUUACUGGGCGUAAAGCGCAUGCAGGUGGUUUGUUAAGUCAGAUGUGAAAGCCCGGGGCUCAACCUCGGAAUUGCAUUUGAAACUGGCAGACUAGAGUACUGUAGAGGGGGUAGAAUUUCAGGUGUAGCGGUGAAAUGCGUAGAGAUCUGAAGGAAUACCGGUGGCGAAGGCGGCCCCCUGGACAGAUACUGACACUCAGAUGCGAAAGCGUGGGGAGCAAACAGGAUUAGAUACCCUGGUAG